CCUUCGUCUUGUCUAGAUUCUGC
rnacentral:siRNA from 1 species